rnacentral:misc_RNA from 1 species
AGUUAUUUGGUUCAUUUCGUUAUAACCGAUAGCCACCGAAUAUUUUUUGUUUCGAUUAAUUUUGGUUUCCCUCAAUUUCGGUUUGGUUUGGUUAAUAUUGUUAUAAUUGGUUAAUAAUUUGAUUAAUUGAAAAUUUGGUUUGGUUAAUUGAAUGUUCACUUCUAGCUAUACUUAGUCCAUCAUAAAUACAAGAUACAAAUAUGUGGGUCUCACUUGUUUUACUUGUGAAUCUCAUAAUACAUGUUGUAUUUUGAGUUUAAGAUAUAUCAUAUUUAAGUAAGAAUUUUUCUUUGAAGAAAAGAUAUACUCAAG